AAGGAUUUAAGUUAAACAAAACUCGUAGCCUUCAAAGCUUCAAAUAAAGCAAUCUUUAAGCCUUA
rnacentral:tRNA from 1 species